rnacentral:rRNA from 1 species
UAGCUAGUUGGUGAGGUAAAGGCUUACCAAGGCGACGAUCUGUAGCGGGUCUGAGAGGAUGAUCCGCCACACUGGAACUGAGACACGGUCCAGACUCCUACGGGAGGCAGCAGUGGGGAAUUUUGGACAAUGGGGGCAACCCUGAUCCAGCCAUGCCGCGUGAGUGAAGAAGGCCUUCGGGUUGUAAAGCUCUUUCGGCCGGGAAGAAAUCGCAUGGGCCAAUACCCUGUGUGGAUGACGGUACCGGAAUAAGAAGCACCGGCUAACUACGUGCCAGCAGCCGCGGUAAUACGUAGGGUGCGAGCGUUAAUCGGAAUUACUGGGCGUAAAGCGUGCGCAGGCGGUUUUGUAAGACAGGCGUGAAAUCCCCGGGCUUAACCUGGGAACUGCGUUUGUGACUGCAAGGCUAGAGUACGGCAGAGGGGGGUGGAAUUCCACGUGUAGCAGUGAAAUGCGUAGAGAUGUGGAGGAACACCAAUGGCGAAGGCAGCCCCCUGGGUCGAUACUGACGCUCAUGCACGAAAGCGUGGGUAGCAAACAGGAUUAGAUACCCUGGUAGUCCACGCCCUAAACUAUGUCAACUAGGUGAUGGGUGGGUAAAACCAUUUAGUACCGUAGCUAACGCGGGAAGUUGACCGCCUGGGGAGUACGGCCGCAAGGUUAAAACUCAAAGGAAUUGACGGGGACCCGCACAAGCGGUGGAUGAUGUGGAUUAAUUCGAUGCAACGCGAAAAACCUUACCUACCCUUGACAUGCCAGGAACUUGCCAGAGAUGGCUUGGUGCCCGAAAGGGAGCCUGGACACAGGUGCUGCAUGGCUGUCGUCAGCUCGUGUCGUGAGAUGUUGGGUUAAGUCCCGCAACGAGCGCAACCCUUGUCGUUAAUUGCCAUCAUUUAGUUGGGCACUUUAACGAGACUGCCGGUGACAAACCGGAGGAAGGUGGGGAUGACGUCAAGUCCUCAUGGCCCUUAUGGGUAGGGCUUCACACGUCAUACAAUGGUCGGUACAAAGGGUUGCCAAGCCGCGAGGCGGAGCCAAUCCCAGAAAGCCGAUCGUAGUCCGGAUUGCAGGCUGCAACUCGCCUGCAUGAAGUCGGAAUCGCUAGUAAUCGUGGAUCAGCAUGUCACGGUGAAUACGUUCCCGGGUCUUGUACACACCGCCCGUCACACCAUGGGAGCGGGUUCCGCCAGAAGUAGGUAGCCUAACCGCAAGGGGGGCGCUUACCACGGCGGGGUUCGUGACUGGGGUGAAGUCGAAACAAGGUAGCCGUAGGGGAACCUGCGGCUG